GAAACGCGAUAAGUAGUGUGAAUUGCAGAAUUCAGUGAAUCAUCGAAUCUUUGAACGCACAUUGCGCCCCUUGGUAUUCCAUGGGGCAUGCCUGUUCGAGCGUCAUUUGUACCCUCAAGCUCUGCUUGGUGUUGGGUGUUUGUCCCCGUCUCCGCGCGUGGACUCGCCCCAAAGUGAUUGGCAGCCGGCGUACUGGUCCCGGAGCGCAGCACAUGUCGCGCAAACGAGUGCCUUGGUACGGCGGCGUCCAUAAGCCCCUCUCUCACGCUCUUGACCUCGGAUCAGGUAGGGAUACCCGCUGAACUUAAGC
rnacentral:misc_RNA from 1 species